CUGUUUUAGUUGGUGGUGGUUAGCAACGAUAGAGAUGGUGGUGGUCUGCGGCUUGUGGUCGUAAUGGUUAGCGUCAACAGAUUCUGGUGACCCAACCUAGGGUUUUCGACCAGAUUCUGGUAGCCCUAUCUAGGGUUCUGACCAUAACACUAAUCCGGUGAAAGUUGUAGAUCUGGUCAGUAAGGGAAUGACAACGAAUUUCGUGUUGUGUGAAGAAGUGAAGUCCAAACAUCCCAGAGUCACAUAUGCUGAUCUCUAUCAGGAUUCAAACGUGUCGCCUAAUGAAGGAUGUCUUCCUGAUGCCAAGCAAGGCCCAUCCCAUCUCCGUGAAAAAAUGUCGUUAAGAAUCAUAGUCCAAGCUCUUUUCUUCGAGCAGUUGCAGCUCAGGACCUCUAUCGCCGGCUGUUUCUUGGUCUCCAACAAUCUUGCAGACGGGUCAAGACAGUUUAGAAGCGGGUUAGGUGCAGCAUCACAGGAGGGCGGUUGGAACACGGUUGGAACGCAGCGUUGAUACUACUGCUCCUACGUUUGCCACCACCGGUGUCAUCUUCACGAAUAGGUACCGAGACCACUUUCUUCUUCCUUACAAACUUUGUUUUGUAAGUGGGAUAUGCUUUUGCAGCGAUAAGCCCAUUCUGGCAGUAGAAAACUUACCCAUUUUGACCCAUUACCCAACACUCUCGACAUGCCCCUUUUGCCACCUCUAACCAAAUUAUUUAUAUGAUAGUUUUACAGCUAUUGACUUUUUUCUUAUUUUUCAUGUGGCUGUCACACCUGAGGCUUGAAUGAUGGAUGAGGUUGUAAAAGAUGAUGUACCAAUGUUAUCAGCUACAAAUUGGCCAUCCGAUAGACACGAUUAUAAACCAAAUCAGAAAUUCUCAAACACGAACAGAAUUGUUUCGAUAUUCAUUCCAGUGCCCUCCGUUUAAAUGAGUUCUGGUUCAACAAAUCGCAUUGACCUUACCAGUCCCGUGCAGACUGAGAAAACAAUGUUAGAAGUGCCUGUGGAACAAGAAAACAUUAAACAUAAUAAAAGACAAGGGGGAGUUUGCAACGCCGCAGCCAGCGCAAAUGCAGCGAACGCAGCCCCAUCGGCUCAGCGAGCACACCCGCAACAGUUCAGCGAGCGUAGCCGUAGCGAAAGCAGCUGCAACAGCGCAACGAGCGCAACUGCAGCGAACGCAGCCGCAUCUGUAUCACCAAGCACAACCCCAGCGAGCCCGACGCAACGCCGCAUCCAGCGCAACCGCAACGGCUCGGCGAGCGCAAUCGCACUGAGCACAACCCCUAAGGCGGAGAGACUGUUGAAAAAGUCAACGCAGUGACAAGGAUUGUUGCAGCAGCCGAAGUGGUAGAGAACCUAGAAGAGGGAGAUACGAUGAUGAUGAGGGUCGAAGUUGGUCUCCUAACAGGCAGAGAGACUGUAGCAAAAUUCAAGGCAGGGGGACAGGGAUUGUUAUAGCAGCUGAAGUAGCAGAGAACGUCGAAGAGGGAGAUACGAUGUUGAUGAGGGUCGAAGUCGGGACAGGGACCUGCUAACCCACAAACCCGACCCGUUUAUACUCCAAUUUUAAAGUGUGUAUCUUUUAGUCUUCCGCAAAUCAAAAUUUUUAAAGGGUGUAUCUUAGUCUUCUUAUCUUCCGUAUAUAACCAAA